CAGCAGCCGCGGUAAUACGGAGGGUGCAAGCGUUAUCCGGAUUCACUGGGUUUAAAGGGUGCGUAGGCGGGCAGGUAAGUCAGUGGUGAAAUCUUCGAGCUUAACUCGGAAACUGCCGUUGAUACUAUCUGUCUUGAAUAACGUUGAGGUGAGCGGAAUAUGUCAUGUAGCGGUGAAAUGCUUAGAUAUGACAUAGAACACCGAUUGCGAAGGCAGCUCACUAAACGAUCAUUGACGCUGAGGCACGAAAGCGUGGGGAUCAAACAGGAUUAGAUACCCCUGUAGUCCCUGUCUCUAUACC
rnacentral:rRNA from 1 species